UGCGCAGGUGGGCUUGUAAGUCAGUGGUGAAAUACUGCCGCUUAACGGUAGAACUGCCAUUGAUACUGCGAGUCUUGAGUAUGGUUGAGGUAGGCGGAAUGUGUUGUGUAGCGGUGAAAUGCAUAGAUAUGACACAGAACGCCGAUUGCGAAGGCAGCUUACUAAGCCAUUACUGACGCUGAGGCACGAAAGCGUGGGGAGUGAACAGGAUUAGAUACCCUGGUAGUCC
rnacentral:rRNA from 1 species